GGCAAGGGAAAAACUCAGAGAAGAGGUCCACGACCCCUGCUUGUCAAAGAGUACAAGCAUCGACCAAAAGGGGGGUCGAUUACAACAAUCAAUUCGCAAAUUCGUGAUAUUAAAGCUGUAUUCUACCAUCCUCCAUCGAUUUUUAGGUUUCCUGCAUGGAAACCCUGACUGAUAUGCUAGGAUGAUUCAAAGCACUUAUAGGAUUCUUGCAUUUCUCAACAGGUGGGAAGAUGAGACAAAGUUGUUAUUGGUAGGAACAAUAGCAAGUAGCCGAAACAUAGAUAAAACAACAAAGUUGAGUGUAAUCUACGUUGGCUUAGCAUAGGCUAUGCCAGAUCGGCGUAGACUACGUUGGUAUGCUUCUGAGCUACACCGGUUUGUAUGGCGGCCACCCACUUCUUGUCAUGGUGUACCAUACCUUACCCCCGGUGUAUAUUAUGGCGCUAUUGUUUUCGUUUGAUCGGGUCAACUUUCUUAUAUGAUGUGUUAUAGAGUAUUUUUCUAGCGUUGCUUUAGUUAAAAGGUCAUGGUCGCAUGUGUUAUUGAGUCACGUUUAUAUUUAGUGGAUUAUUUGGUUAUUAAAGAUGUUUUGUUCUUCGUAAGGAUCGUCCGGGCCGUGUCGAAAUUUUUAUAAACCUGUGUCAUAAACUGUAUGCCAGUUAUGUUAAUUUAAAGUGAU
rnacentral:lncRNA from 1 species